CCAAUAGCGUAUAUUAAAGUUGUUGCAGUUAAAAAGCUCGUAGUUGAAUUUCGGGGUUAGUAGGUUGGUCAUGCCUCUGGUAUGUACUGGUCUCACUGAUUCCUCCUUCCUGAUGAACCGUAAUGCCAUUAAUUUGGUGUUGCGAGGAAUUUGGACUGUUACUUUGAAAAAAUUAGAGUGUUUUAAAGCAAGCUAACGCUUGAAUACAUUAGCAUGGAAUAAUGAAAUAGGACGUUCGAUCCUAUUUUGUUGGUUUCUAGGAUUGACGUAAUGAUUAAUAGGGAUAGUUGGGGGCAUUAGUAUUCAAUUGUCAGAGGUGAAAUUCUUGGAUUUAUUGAAGACUAACUACUGCGAAAGCAUUUGCCAAGGAUGUUUUCAUUAAUCAAGAACGAAAGUUAGGGGAUCGAAGACGAUCAGAUACCGUCGUAGUCUUAACCAUAAACUAUGCCGACUAGGGAUCGGAUGAUGUUAAUUUUUUAAUGACUCAUUCGGCGCCUUACG
rnacentral:rRNA from 1 species